CGUGAGUGGCGGACGGGUGAGUAACGCGUGGGUAACCGUGCCUCAUACAGGGGGAUAACAGUUGGAAACGGCUGCUAAUACCGCAUAAGCGCACAGUACCGCAUGGUACGGUGUGAAAAACUCCGGUGGUAUGAGAUGGACCCGCGUCUGAUUAGGUAGUUGGUGGGGUAACGGCCUACCAAGCCGACGAUCAGUAGCCGACCUGAGAGGGUGACCGGCCACAUUGGGACUGAGACACGGCCCAA
rnacentral:rRNA from 1 species